rnacentral:rRNA from 1 species
UACGGGGGGAGCAAGCGUUGUUCGGAUUUACUGGGCGUAAAGGGCGCGUAGGCGGCGCAACAAGUCACUUGUGAAAUCUCCGGGCUUAACCCGGAGCGGCCAAGUGAUACUGUCGUGCUAGAGUCCGGAAGGGGCGAGUGGAAUUCCUGGUGUAGCGGUGAAAUGCGCAGAUAUCAGGAGGAACACCUAUGGCGAAGGCAGCUCGCUGGGACGGUACUGACGCUGGAGGCGCGAAAGCGUGGGGAGCGAACAGG